AUUGAACGCUGGCGGCAUGCCUUACACAUGCAAGUCGAACGGCAGCACGGGUGCUUGCACCUGGUGGCGAGUGGCGAACGGGUGAGUAAUACAUCGGAACAUGUCCUGUAGUGGGGGAUAGCCCGGCGAAAGCCGGAUUAAUACCGCAUACGAUCUACGGAUGAAAGCGGGGGACCUUCGGGCCUCGCGCUAUAGGGUUGGCCGAUAGCUGAUUAGCUAGUUGGUGGGGUAAAGGCCUACCAAGGCGACGAUCAGUAGCCGGUCUGAGAGGACGACCAGCCACACUGGGACUGAGACACGGCCCAGACUCCUACGGGAGGCAGCAGUGGGGAAUUUUGGACAAUGGGCGAAAGCCUGAUCCAGCAAUGCCGCGUGUGUGAAGAAGGCCUUCGGGUUGUAAAGCACUUUUGUCCGGAAAGAAAUCCUUGGCUCUAAUACAGUCGGGGGAUGACGGUACCGGAAGAAUAAGCACCGGCUAACUACGUG
rnacentral:rRNA from 1 species